rnacentral:rRNA from 1 species
AUUGAACGCUGGCGGCAUGCCUUACACAUGCAAGUCGAACGGUAACAGGUUAAGCUGACGAGUGGCGAACGGGUGAGUAAUGUAUCGGAACGUGCCCAGUCGUGGGGGAUAACUGCUCGAAAGAGCAGCUAAUACCGCAUACGACCUGAGGGUGAAAGCGGGGGAUCGCAAGACCUCGCGCGAUUGGAGCGGCCGAUAUCAGAUUAGGUAGUUGGUGAGGUAAAGGCUCACCAAGCCGACGAUCUGUAGCUGGUCUGAGAGGACGACCAGCCACACUGGGACUGAGACACGGCCCAGACUCCUACGGGAGGCAGCAGUGGGGAAUUUUGGACAAUGGGCGCAAGCCUGAUCCAGCAAUGCCGCGUGAGGGAAGAAGGCCUUCGGGUUGUAAACCGCUUUUGUCAGGGAAGAAAAGGUGCUGGCUAAUACCUGGGACUCAUGACGGUACCUGAAGAAUAAGCACCGGCUAACUACGUG